UACGAAGGGGGCUAGCGUUGCUCGGAAUCACUGGGCGUAAAGCGCACGUAGGUGGGUCGUUAAGUCGGGGGUGAAAUCCUGGAGCUCAACUCCAGAACUGCCUUCGAUACUGGCGAUCUUCGAGUCCGGGAGAGGUGAGUGGAACUGCGAGUGUAGAGGUGGAAUUCGUAGAUAUUAGGAAGAACACCAGUGGCGAAGGCGGCUCACUGGUCCGGUACUGACGCUGAGGUGCGAAAGCGUGGGGAGCAAACAGG
rnacentral:rRNA from 1 species